UCUCCACAGUCCAAGGUGAAGGCAAGGAUCCCAGUAUGGUGGUACACAUCUGCUAUCCCAGAAUUUAGGAUGCGGAGACAGGAUCAUCGUUUAAAGAUCUGCCUGGGCUACAUUAUGAUACCCUGGUUUCAAAGAAAAGACAAAAAACACCUUCUGAGGAAGAGCUGUGAGCUGCUGUUUUCCUAUCACCAUCAUUUGGGCUGUCUCCCUUUCCCUCUGCUCCUGCAGGAGACACAGAAACCUCCUGUGUAUAGAACAAGGCCUCCAUCCUGCAGGGCGUGUGCAAGCAAGUGUUAAAAAUGCUUGAAGUUGUCAUGUAUUAAACUGAGCUUAAAGCAUUUGGGCAAACUUUAUGACAGUUUCAGCCUUGGCAAAAACUUGUUUCAGUGGACUAACCUCAGCAAAUUGUGAGACUUAGUGUUAGAAGCCUUGCCCAAAGACUGCAGUGCAUCCUCAGUGCUCUGUGUGAAAUGACAAAGUCUAGACUUCAAACUGCCCUGUCGUCAUGGAGACACAGCAAGCAAGGUAAGUGCAUCCCCCACUACUUAAGGGUUUGUCCUUGUGGAGCAAGCACCAAGUUCCAGGUCCACGGGGAAGUCAGGCAGUGGCGGUGCAUGC